GGUUCCCAGGAAGGUUUCCAGAAAGGAUGUUUCGAAGGAGAAGAGGAAGGAUUCCGUUUGGGUUACCAUCGAGGUGCUGAAAUAGGAUAUUAUAAAGAAAAUGUAGAAUGUACUGUGCCAUAGGGCCAACAUACUUAAGCAAGGUAAUUCUCAACCACGGAGGGGGAAGCACAGGAAGUCUCAGAAUAGUACGAAGAUCUCGGAGGGCGGUGGAUAUAACAGUCACAAAGCAAGACUUUAUACAAACAGGUGACAGCAUUUGUAACACAACAGACAAACCUCUGCAGCUUAGUUAAAGAACACUUUCACCCAGAAAUGUGCAAGCAGAUGGCCCUUGCUGGACUUCAUACAUGUGGAGACCUUGGUCCUGACUGUUGUCGGAUGUUUGCCAGUAAGGAGGAGUUCAGCUGCUUGUGCAAUGUUGGUUGCUGUUAUCAUCUGCCGGAAGAAGAAUGUGUACGUAGUCCAUUUUGGACUGAUGUGGAUCCUCCAUUACCCAGAGGAGUGCUGUAUGGAUUCCCAAUGAGCCAGUUCUUGCAUAUGCAACAAAUUUCUUUAGGCCGCUAGAAUGCUAGCUGCAUAUUCUUUGGACAGGAUAGGAGAAUCCCAUCAGCUGCCAAGUGAAUCACUUUUCUUCCGAGCCUUGCUACAGGUCCUGGUGUUCAACAAAUUUGGUAAUGAUAUUCCGUGGGGUCAAAUCGGUUGACUUAAAUACCACAACUUUGUAGAUUAUGUACAAAAAUCUGUGCAGAAACUACACCUUAAUAUUGAACAGAGUCCUCAGAAUGAACAUGAACUUGAGCACGGUGGGGGACAUCCCUAUUCCUGUGUUGUAUGCAGUAAAACAUUCCGUUGGCCAAGUGGUCUGAAGCAACAUCAACGCACACGCAGUGGAGAGCGUCCAUAUACCUGUAAUGUGUGCAAUAAUUCGUUCCGACGGAAUCAAGAUUUGAAGAUACAUAAACUUGUACAUAGUGGUAAGCGGCCGUAUUCAUGUGACGUGUGUAAUAAAUCUUUCGCUUGGACGAGUUGUCUGAAGAAACAUCUUUUCUUACAUCGAUAUCCUAUGAUGUGUGUGACAGAUCAUUCAGCCAGUGGAGUCAUCUGAAGAGACAUUAGAGCAUGUAAUAUGGAUAGUGUCCAUGUUUCUGUGUGUGUAUGUGCACUAAACAGAGUGAUCUCAAGAAUCAUUAAUGUAUGUAUUGGUGUCUUUCCUAUCGUGUGUAAUACGUUGUUUCAUUGUCAGGGUACUCAGUGGAGACGUAAUUGUAUACACAGAAUCCGUAUCAGAUGAUUUCUGCUUUGAGUUUCCGAACAAAUGUCAUCUAAUUCAUAACUGAUGUGUGUGUAAGAACAUGUUCUGGAACUGGUGUAAAGUGUUGCAAAAGAUGAAAUGUACUAUGAAAAAGUGGUAGAAAUGAACAGAUCUAAGAAUUUCAGUAAAACUUGUCAACAUUCACAGCCUAAGAUCUGUGAUAAAUUUAUUAAGAAGUUUCAUCCAUUAUUAAGUGGUUCUUAUAUCUGUCAUAAAAUGCCAUCACUUCAUGGAUGGCUUUAAUGAAAUCAUUCUGAAAGACCGAAGAUGUGCCCUUGAAAACAGUGGCUGCGUCUAACUGGUCACUCAAAAGAGGAUCAUAAUCUUCUAGCAGUUGCAAAGAUUCUAUAGAUUUGCCUCUAUCAAGGAGUGAUUCAGAUUGACAGUAACCUCUAAAUGGCAACAGACAACCCUUUCAAUCAUCUAAACCAGUGGUCUCCAACGCGGUGCCCACGGGUGCCAUGGCUUUUUUUGGGUGCCCGCAUUGAUACGGAAAGAGGUUAUACUGAAUGAUGAAGGCCGUUCAACCAUGAACAUUAUAAAAUCAAAGCACAGAUCUCUACUUACUGAUGCCCAUCUUGACGAUUGUUUAUGAGCAGCAACAUAAUCCUACACUCCCAAAUCUGAAAAAAUGGCCGAUGAAAUACAGUGCCGAACAUCACACUAACUUCCCACUUGAGUAAUAAUAAUUGUACUUAUAAAACCACUGGUUUCUUGUAUCAUUAAACGUCAUGUUGUUUUGUGUAUUA